rnacentral:lncRNA from 1 species
GAGAUUUGUAAAGGUAGGGGUGGUGAGGAGGUGAGUAGUGAACCGGUGGAGGAGGAGAAUAGACGGGAGGUGGCGGCGAUUUGUAUUCGUAGUGUUUCUUUGGUGGUGGGGGAGAGUGGUAAACCGGAGGGGGAGGAGACUGGUAAACCGGAGGAGGAGGAGAUUUGUACUCGUAAUGCUUCUUAGGUGGGGGAGGAGAGUGGUAAACCGGAGGAGGAGGAGACUUGUAAACCGGUGGAGGAGGAGAUUUGUACUCGUAGUGUUUCUUAGGUGGUGGAGGAGAGUGGUAGACUGGAGGAGGAGGAGACUUGUAAACCGGUGGAGGAGGUGAUUUGUACUCGUAGUGUUUCUUAGGUGGUGGGGGAGAAUGGUAAACCGGAGGAGGAGGAGACUUGUAAACUGGUGGAGGAGGAGAUUUGUACUCGUAGUGUUUCUUAGGUGGCGGAGGAGAGUGGUAAACUGGAGGAGGAGGAGACUUGUAAACCGGUGGAGGAGGAGAUUUGUACUCGUAGUGUUUCUUAGGUGGUGGAGGAGAGUGGUAGACUGGAGGAGGAGGAGACUUGUAAACCGGUGGAGGAGGAGAUUUGUACUCGUAGUGUUUCUUAGGUGGUGGAGGAGAGUGGUAGACUGGAGGAGGAGGAGACUUGUAAACCGGUGGAGGAGGAGAUUUGUACUCGUAGUGUUUCUUAGGUGGUGGAGGAGAGUGGUAGACCGGAGGGGGAGGAGACUUGUAAACCGGUGGAGGAGGUGAUUUGUACUCGUAGUGUUUUUUAGGUGGUGGAGGAGAGUGGUAAACCGGAGGAGGAGGAGAUUUGUAAACCGGUGGAGGAGGUGAUUUGUACUCGUAAUGUUUCUUGGGAGGAGGUGGAGACUUGUAAACUGGAGGAGGAGAGUAAUGCUUGACCGGUGGUGGAGGUGAUUUGUACUCGUAGUCCUUCUUUGGUGGAGGUGGGGAUUUGUAAACCGGAGGAGAGUAGUGCUUUACCGGUGGUGGAGGAGACUUGUACACCGGAGGAGUGUAGUGUUUGACCGGUGGAGGAGGAGAAGAGUAGUAGUAAUUUGCGGU